ACUUGCUGGGAUGAGCCCCGAGUGUUAUUUGUAAGUGAUGAAUCACUAAAUUCACUUCCUGAAAUCAUUAUUACACUAUAUGUUAACUAACUUGGAUUUAAACUUAAAAGAAGAACCCACAACACAUCUCUCCUAAAUUGAUUAGUUUGGGCUUGAUAAGCAUCCAUCCAUCUGCCAUUCAUUUAUUCCUCUUCCAUUCAUGCGUACAUAAAUCAUGCAGGAAUCCAUCCCUUCCCUCUGCACUUGUUUCUACAGUGGAGAAAUAUGACAUUCAUGCUGGCUCUAUCCAGAACCUCUUCUCAGGGACCCUACACUCUGAAGUCCACCUGAUUGGACCAGGUAUUGGCUCCUGACCAAAGUCAGUCUGUCAAAUCCUCUGUCUCAAGUGAAAGCGACAGUGUCUGGAAUUGAGACACUGAGAAACUGAGUCUAUCAAAUGAUUGUAACCUCUUGAAUUGAAAGGACAUAUAAAAAAAUGGGGAGAAAAAUUAAGAUAUGUUCAGAGAGAGACAGGAAAAUAGAGGCAACAUAAAAAGAUACAUAGAGAUGGAGAGAGGUCCACUGACCUUCUAUUUCCUCUGUGGUCUCUCUGCUUUCCACAGUUGAGCUCUGUGAAUUCUACUAACCCUACCCUCUGACUCCUAACUGACUACUUCAUUAAACUUUAGCUCACAGAGUGAAUUGCUGAUCCCUGCAAGCAAAGUCCUGGACUAGGUUCCAGACUCUUCUCUAUGUCAGUCAUCUCAAUCUUCACAAGAGGAUAAGGUGAGUACCAUCAUUAUCUCCAUUCAGAAGUGAGGGCACCAAGACUCAAAGACCUCAGUAACCCAUUGCAGUCAGAAUAAAAUUCCCACUCCUUUCCUUCUUUAAUCACUUGGAUAUUCUGGUCCUUAACCAUGUCUCCACUUCCAUCUCCUACCAGACUCUCAGUCAUGAUACUCCAGUCACAGUGAGGUUUCUUCUGGGUCUCAAAUUUACUAAACCCAGUCCCACCUCAGGACCUUUGCACUUACUGUUCUCUCUGCCUAGAGCACACAUACUUCCCUAACUCAAAGAUGGCUCCUUCCUACGUUUCAGCCCAGAUAUCACCUUUGUAGAGAAGCCUUUUCUGACCACCUCAGAGAAACGGACAUUUUCCAUCCCUGGUCACUAACAAGUACCAUUUAUCUUACAGCCCUUAGCGUGAUACUUGCUUAUUGUCUGCCUCCAGCCCCAUGCUGGAAUACACAUUCCCGAAGAACAGAGACUUCAUCUGUUCCCUUCACAACUGUUCCCAGCGCCAAGAAUUCAGUUUGGCGCAUACUAGGAGCUGAAGAAAUACUUGUUGAAUAAGUAAACUUGCCCACAUCAAACAGCUAGUAAAUGAUACAGGCAAAAUGUAAAGGUUGAUCUGACUCCAGAGGCCCUACUCUUCCCGACCUGUUAGCUGCCUCUCAUUGUUCAGUCUUGAUAAAGACUUUAGCCAGAAGGUUAUAAAAGAGUGGUUCAUAAUUAGAAAUCUAUAAAUCUAGGCUACAUGAGAGAGAAAUAAACAAUGCAGGCAAAGGAGGAGAAACAUCUGCUCCUGAUUAUAUCAUAUAAAAUAAAAUUUAGGUCAUAAAGUCUGGAGACAUACUUCAUUUUACCUAAUCAUUCCUUCUUAAAAUUCGUGUAGGAAUUGAUGGGCUUUUCUUUUUCAGCUAAAAUUCUAUUUUAAAAGCACCAGGGAACUUGUUAUUUAAAUGUACCCUGAAGCAAAUCCUUUUGCACGGCAAAUAAUCCUGCCUUAAUUUGCAUUUUAUAAGUUGAAUUUUCUGCACUAUAGUUUUUUUUUUUUAAUGAGUUCUAAUAUGAUGCAAUUUUCAUUGCUGGUUGAGCUCGUUAGAUAGGCUUUGCUUUUGGUUUAAAGAUUUUUUCCAAUGUGAUCACAUACGUGUCUAGUGCUGUAUUUGCAAACAUAUCCUCUGAGACUCAAUUAAGCAGAGUUGGUACUUCAAGAUUAAAAGAUGUAGAGCCCAGUUGUACAGACUCUGGAUAAGGCCUCACUGGGGUCUCUGUUCCUGGACAUAUUUCUCUGAUUCUUUUGCAUCUCUCCUUCCAAUGUCCUGUCAUCUUGGAGUUCCUGCAGAUCCCAGGGCUUGCUGAUUGUUUGGGUAUGCCAUAAGAAAUAUUCCUCAGGAGCAGGAGAAGAAUAUGUCCUAUUCCUCUCAGCGGGGGUACCCCAAGGGUCCAAAAGGAAGAAACCACUUCUAUCUACUUACACAUGGAAAGUUGCUUCAUCUGCUCCCUAACAUUGGGGAACACCAGAGACCUUCCAUUAACAGUGCAUCUCAGCUGGACACACUUGCUGUUUUACCUCUACCCAUGUCUAAAUGCUCCAGGUAUAUAUCUGGUUAUUUCCAGUUAUUCCCAGAGCCCUGGCCUUUCUCCUGGGCAGACUAUUUGGGGCCACCUGCUAAGCUGAGGCUAAAAGUUCUAACCAGGAAUUCAGAUGGUGCAAGCAUCAUGAGUCAAAAAUCAGUCAACAAAAAUCAGUCCCUCCCUCCCUCUUAUAAGCUGGUCACUGGUAGUUAUGGGGGUCCUCAAGUUGGGGCUGGACAAUGCCUUUACUGGGUGGUGGGAUGACCAUUCCGAAAAAGGAACAGUGGCAGUGCCAUCCACCAAGUGAUGCUAAAAUCAGGUCUCCUCCUCUGGGCAAAGAGAACAGCUUAGAGGAACAUCCUGUCUUCAAGACGGGAGGUGCAGUUAUCUGACCAGCUGCAAAGUACUGCCUAUUAAUGUCAAAUGUAGUCUAAUCCUAAUGUCACUCCUGCAUAUUGGAGGGGAAGCAACGCUUACUGAGCAUCCACUCGAUCGUCUCUUCCACCUUGGAAGAUGGGUGCAUUACUCGCCUUUUAUCAAUGAGGAAACAACUUCAGAGAGGUGAAACGACCUGCUCCGGGACACAUAGUUCCAAGCAGCAGAGCCGGGACUCAGUCCAGUGGGAUGCUCACCUUACUGCCCCCCACCUCUCCCCAGCCCGUCUGAGGACCAGCAUCUUGAAAAUAUGGGAAUGAUAAUCAUCACCUUCACUAACAAACCUCACAUUUGUUGAGUGCUUACCGUAGGUCAGGCAUUUUUCCUAAGUGUUUUCUUGGUAUUAUCUCAUUUAAUGCUUGCAACCACCCCAUGCUACUUCCAUUGUCAUUGUUUUAUGAUGAGACACUUGGGUCACAGAGUGGGUUAAGUAACUAGCCCAGGGUCCCAAGGAUGGUACUUGGGCUUCAUCACCAGGUGCAGUAGCUCCAGAGACCCUGCUGAAACCAACUGGGACUUCCUAGGGACUUGUAGCCGUAUCUGGUGGCUUCUCAUAGUACACGUACCAUAUUUCCCAAGUUGGUUCCCAGUCCAUGUCAGUGUCCACCCAACGGCCUGGCUGCCCUUGCCACAUCUUCCUUCCUCCUCCUAAGAUUGACUGUACCCCGGUAAGGCAGCUGGCCCUCUGGCAGGCUGACCUGCUCUUUUCCAGGUUGUGGCAGAGCAGGUGAUCCCAGUUUGCCAUCUGACAUGGGCCUUUGGCACCCAGCUUCUAUGUUCCAGAGACAGUAACCUGCUGUGCCGUUGUUCUUCUUGAGCUUUAAUAAGAUCCUUAUGGAAAGGGCCUGACCCAAAGGCGGCCUGGGGGAUUGAAAAGGAGCCCUUGAAGAUACUGACUGACAUUGCAUCCUUGCCUUGUUGCCUGCUUGCCGUGAGCUCUUCGGCAAGUCACUUAACCUCUCCAGACCACAGUUUUCUCAUCUGUAUAAUGAGGAGAUCCGGGCCAGAUGAUCUCUCGAGCACCCACCAGUCCAAGUUUUCUCUGAUCAACCAGGAGACCUAGGAGACCCUUUAGCCCAGUCCUCUAACACUUAGAGGCUGGGAGCCUCCAAGAAGCAGAAGGACAGUACAAGGUUACAGGAAUCAGACAGGAGACCACAAGGAGAUGUAAUUAACCGUGUUCAGCCUUUGCUGGGUGGCAGCCGAGAGGAAAAACCGUAACAGGGGUGUAGCUGCCUUACUUUUGGUGAGCCCGAGAGGGAGAAACUGGCAUUAGCUAGUAUUCACCUGGCUUGCUAAGAGGCACUGGAACAUAGAAGAGAUAAACUUUGAUGUGAGUGCAUCAGAGAGACCGAGGAGGAAUUUCAGUAUCAGCCCAAGGUACAGGGCGCUCUCUUGGAGGGCCAAGCUUCUGGCUAGAGUGGGCUUAGGAUAAGCAACAAAAUGAAAGAGAUCUCCCAAACAUUGACCUUGGCACUCAAAAGGAAAAUAAUAAUAAAGGCAAGUAUUAAAACAUUUCCAGUAUAUUUUCAUCCGAAAUGUGUUGAUAUAAAAUGGCUAAGAAUGCCACAUAAGUUUUAGGUUUUUUUUUUCUCAUAGGAGUUUUAAAUACUUAGAUUCAGAUAGUCAAGUUCACAUAAAUAAAACAUUCUUUAUAAAAAACUGAACAAUACAACCAUCAUUACAUGGGCCUGGCAGAAAGAAAGCUCUAUUCAGUUCUCAGAGUGACCUUAGCCUAGAGCGUCUUGGGCUUAAUUUAGAUUAUUGGUUUGUCCUAGUCUGUCUCCCUCCUUCACCCCCAAGAGCACUCUGGCAUUUCAUGAGCAUGUACCAACUGGACGAUUUCUUUCUUUGUAAGAAAACACCAGAAGAAGUAAUAGGAAUGAACAGAAUGCAAUGUGUUCUCCAGACCAGUGGUUCUCAAACCCGAGCAGGAAAAAGUAUGUGAGAAGUGCAAAGAAUAUAUUUAAGAUGUAAUUCCAAUUCAGAUAGUUACUAAAAUCACAAUUCCUUCCUAGUCCAAAAGAACUCAGGGAUGCUGAUUUUCCUCUUAAGUGGGGAGGGGAGAGGCACAGCCGGGCCAUAAGCUGGUCAUAUGGGUGUCUAUCAGGAUAUUCUGGACGAUAAUUAGAAGAAAGCCCACCACCUGUGGGAAGGAGAGCUGGGUUUCGGGGCUGGAGAGAUAGUGUGGUCCCAAGGCAGGGCCCUGGCACACUCCUUCCCAAUGCCAGGGCACUGGCCCCAUCUUCCGUGUAAUCCAGCAGAUGUUUCUAGAAAUGUCUAGAACCGUGAAAGUGUUAGUGCAGAAGGAGGUGCUUCCGGGACCGUGUUCUGCACAAAGGAAGGCGACCUCUGUGAUCAGGGUAUUCCUGAGCCCCGCAGAGACAGGAGCCGCCUUUCUGAAAACUUUGGCCAGAGAGCCAGGGGUGGGCUCAUUUCCUGUCCUGAGCACAGUGUUAGAAGCCACUCGGACGGAUGCACAGAGAACUGAAACAGGCCAGGGGAGACCAGGGAGUGAGCCUGGAUACUCCCACUCCCUGCUGGGAGACCCGCCGAGCUGUAACUACCUGCCAACCAGCCAUGCCGGGAAAGCCCGGCUCCAGAGUCUCCUAGGGCAGGUCCUCUGGGAGACCGCGCGUGUGUUUGGCACUAACCGGGCACCGGCGGGCAGUGCUGAUGGGCUCGUGGGCUUGACUUUGUUCCGACUUCCAUUUUUGAUUCUGCCAAACACCCGUGCUGCCCUGAAAGUAGCCACCUUCUCAGGGACCCAGCCUGAGCCAAGCUGAAUGGCCGGAAGGGCCUCAGGGCACUGUCCGCUCCCACAGCUUCUCUCGAAGCAGCCACUGCCCUUUGGGGUUCUCUGUCUCGUGGUAGUCCUCCCCCGGAGACACCAGGGACUCCAGGCCAAAGAGCUCCGCAUCCCAUUCCGCGUCUUCUCCUGAGAAGUUGAGGAGGAUCUGUCUGGGGCUCCCCAGGCUGGAAGGGAGGAAUGAGGCAGAGGGUUUAAGUCUGGCUUGGCCGGCUGCACAGAGAAGGCAUGCUCUGAUCCACUAUUCCAACGGAGACCAUCAGAUGCCCCCCAGGGCUGGGCCUUGUGGCGGACAAAGCGGUAUCAUCAUGGGGGCUGGACCCCAGACUGGCCUUGGAGGGGAAGGACGGAUGAUUGGAUGAUGAGCCCUGGUUUCAGUACGUCCGUUACAUAGUCCAUUGUUAUGGGCGGAAAGUGCUAUUUAGAAAAGCUCUGAAUCCAUCAGAGUUGAAUGGCUCUUGUACAAACCCGAACCCAGAUAGACCCCCUUCUGCUGUGAAAGGUGAGGUCCCUGCAGCAUGGGCGGCAGUGGCCAGAGCAAGAGAGCACUGACCGCUCCAAAUGAGUAGGUCACAGGAAUUUGGAGGCUAAACAUGGGAACUCGUCUCGGGAGAGUUGGAUCUGGAGGGAAAGAGGCCGAGAGAUGGUGGCGAAGUGGCCAGGGGGAGCCCGGCCUGCAAGAAGUUCUCCAGCUAAGUCAGGUCAACGCCUUUCCAAGGCAGGGGCGUCUGGUUAGUCUGGUGUUGGUUCCCUCUUGGCGCUUUGCCCUCCUCAACCCCAAACUCCCAUAAAAAAUUCGUAGCACAUAGGGUGUCUGUGGCCCUGGGGGGCAACAGUGAAAGAGGGUGGCACAAAGCAUGUGGGCCAGGUAGGCCAGAGGCAAGGCCGGCAGAUCCAGAGCUGAAGUCACAGGGAGGAGACAGCAGUGAACCAGGCUGGAGUUUACGUAUAGACUAGGGGAAAACAUCUUUUAAUACUCUUAACGUUUAUUUAUUUUUGAGUGAGAGAGAGCGCACGAGUGGAGGAAGGGUAGAGAGAGAAGGGGACAGAGAACACGAAGCGGGCUCUAUGCUGACAACAUAAUGCGGGGCUCGAACUCACGAACCGUGAGAUCAUGACCCGAGCUGAAGUUGGAAGCUCAACUGACUGAGCCACCCAGGCAGCCCUAGCGGGGAAGAAAAAGAUCUUUAGCCAAGAUCUCCUUCCCCCAAAAUCUGUAAGAGUAAUUUUUGGUAUAUGGGACGGGGACUCAAGGCACCUGAAGAACCACCCCAGGAGUCUGGACAACAUGAAAACGUCUUAGUUAUACCAUUUGGUCCAAGCACUUACUCUUUUUUGCAGGCUUUGGGCUUAAAUUUCAAGGUGUUGAAUGCCCCUUCCACAGCCUUGGGCAAGUAAAUGGGGUGCCUCUCGAGCCUCCUCUGAGUGCCGAAGGUCCUGCGCUCCACGCUCCUUCGAAACUGGCUAUCUGUCACGUGCACGGUGUGCCCAGCAAUGUCCUCAGAGUGCCGGCGUGGUGCCCGCAGGAUCCAGUUGGAAUGCAAGCUGUGCUCCCGGGAGCUGGUGGCCACUGGAAGAGACAAGCAGGGGCCCGGGAAGGAGCAAGAGAGGGUGAACCAGGCUGAGAACCCGCAACAAAUGCCUAUAUUACAACAGCACAUUCUUAGAAAGGCUGGGAAAGGCAAGUGAGAGGGGGAUGAUCUGACCCUGUAAUGAUAGGGUAGGGAUAUGGUGGGAUAUUUAUGUGUCCAUUAAAAAUAAAGACAUACAUCUAUGUUUACUGACAUGGAAAGACAACCCCUGAUGUAUUAUAAAUGGUUAAGUGAAAAGAACAGA